UACGGAGGGGGCUAGCGUUGUCCGGAAUCAUUGGGCGUAAAGCGCGUGUAGGCGGCUCGGUAAGUCCGCUGUGAAAGUCGGGGGCUCAACCCUCGGAUGCCGGUGGAUACUGUCGGGCUAGAGUACGGAAGAGGCGAGUGGAAUUCCUGGUGUAGCGGUGAAAUGCGCAGAUAUCAGGAGGAACACCAAUUGCGAAGGCAGCUCGCUGGUACGUUACUGACGCUUAGACGCGAAAGCGUGGGGAGCAAACAGG
rnacentral:rRNA from 1 species